rnacentral:ncRNA from 2 species
UAGCUUUCGCGCCGCGAUGGUUCCCUCACGGGAAUAAUAGGGAAGCUGCUCAGGCCUUCGGGCCAAGUCCAGCGCUGUUCCCGCAGCCGUAGGCGGCGAGCGGUGAGGCACAAAGCCACUGGGGGUGACCCUGGGAAGGCGCUUCAUCCGCAUUGACCCGCAAGCCGGAAGACCUGCCGUCGCUGUCGUCUGUCC